ACGCACACAUGCACGCACGACACACACGCACGCCACACACACACACACACGCGCGCGCACACACGCGCGCAUACACACACACGACACACACACACACACAUUGCGCAAGGUCACCUCCAUUACCGAUCUAUUCCCUGCUGGCUGGCUUUCACACACACUGUUGGAUGCAUCAUUUUAACCUACGCAACGUGCUGAAAAUGUUCAGAGUGAAAUUGGUUUACAUAUUUUUUGUCAGUUUGUAUUUUCCCUUUAAGAUGGUCUGCUUUCAGGGUGAAUGUGAAUUAUUACUUGAACUCUGCACUGAGCGAUUCCUCAGCCCCUCCAUAUCAGUGACUGGAGGAGUCCUCCUUGCAACUGGUAUCUGCUCUUUAUUACUCUGUGUAUCCUGUCUGGUUUGCAGACAGACGUAAAUGCACCUGAACCAUAAUGGAGUCACUUUUCAAAAGUGCUAUAUCCUUCAAAGAUGCUCCCUUUUCAUUCAUUUUAUAAAUUGCUGAUUUGGAUUUCUUUUUUUUGCAUUUUUGUUAAAAGACAUCUGUUCCUGUUUAAUAAAACAACUUUCCCCUCUUUCCUGAUCCCUCCCACUUCUGGCUUGAAAGAACAAUUUGAUAAAGACUAAAUUAUUUAAUUUAACUGGAAUUAUCUUUGUUCCAGCCUAAUAAAAUUCAACAGGUGAUUUCCCCUCUUCUCUCCCCUCCCACCCCCCCACCCUUUUCUUGCUUGAGAGCACACUUUGAUCCGGAUUAAAUGAUUACAUGAAACUGGAAUUAAUUGCAAUCUGCUAUCUAUUUCAAUCUGGCGGGUUGUCGGGAUCGCCCGCCUUCCUUGUAUCUGCACACCUCCAUGCCGUGAAGAAUAAUAUCGGUGAUGCCCAAACUCCAGGUUGUACUGGAAACUUGUGGCCAACAAGCUGAAGAUGUCAGUAAUAUUCUUGUAAUUAUUUUCUCACCGUAACUCGUGGACGUUCUCUGCCAUAUCCAGAGUGCACAGUUCUUUGAAUAUCUGCAAGGAUUUUUGUGCUGUGUGUGUUAGACUACUGGCACUGGCCAAGCAGAAAUGUUGUUAUAAGAUUCAGCAAAUGGUAAUCAUCUUGAGAAAUUAUUAUUAUGGGGGAAAAUGGAAAAGUCUAAAACAAGAUUUGGAACAUUAAUUAUGAAUGUAUUUGCUAUAGUCAUAUUCUAAAUUAUAAAGUAGAAUUUCACAUUCCUAUUAUAACUAGUGCUCUUGUCUAGUCCCGUGAAAUUGUAUUUGGGCAAAUGGGCAAUUCAUACAUUUCUUAAACAUGCAAAAAGAUUCUCCCCGUCCAACUUCCCAUGUCUAGAAACACUACUGCAACUUUCUUGGAGGAACAGCGCUGGGUUCAAUCUCUUCCCACUGUAUAGGGCAGGUUUAUAGUGCUCUCAUCACUCCCUGUGUCUCUGUAGUGCGAGUGUGGAUUCCUGCAUCCCUUAUUUUCCCUGCCCCAGUCCUCUGCUGCUUUAAUGUGUACGAAGGAACGGCAGAUGCUGGUUAAAACUGAAGAUAGACACAAAACACUGGAGUAACAGCGGGUCAGGCAGCAUCUCUGGAGAGGAGGAGUGAUGAGAGAUGCUACCUGUCCCACUUUGUUACUCCAGCUUUCUGUGUCUAUCGCUGCUGUUGUAACAUGCUGAGCCUUGUAACAGUAUUCACACCCGACUGUGCUACAUUUACACAACUAGGCUGCUGGUCUGUUUCACUUCACAAUCCCUGCAGUUAGGAAUGGGAAUCAUUUAAAUGUAACUAAAAAAAAAAUAGCUGGGAUGUUCAGGAUUGGGCCGUUACGUUGGAAUUCCUGUAGGCCUUAAUUCAGUCGUAACCUUCAAAAACAUAGCCUCAAUGUAUACGAUAAGAUUUUUAAUAAAAUCACCAUCUGCCCAUGCCUGUAGCAAUACUGCAUUGACCACUUUUCAUUUAAUGACCGCCCCUAUUGUAAAUUGUUCAGGAUUGGGCUGUAACGUUUGAAUUCCUGUACGUCCUAGUUCAGUCGUAACUUUCAAGAACGUAGCUGGGAUGUUCACGAUAAGCUUUGUAUGUAAAAUCUCCCUGUCCCUGUAGUAAUAUUGCAUUGCCCACUGUUCAUUUCCAUUGUAAAUAAAGGGAGAGUUGAUGACCUUGUGUAUCUUGCCUGGAACAUGUGAAAUAGUGUAGCUGACGACGGGCUAGGUGGGAAACCAUUGUUCAGUUUAAACAUAGAUGUCACCAGUCUCUGGACCUCUGCUGUUGCAAAGUUACUUUUGAAGCCACUGCUGUUAACAACUUUCAAAGGGCAUUUUUGUACAAAGUGAUUCUAUGUAAGUCUUUUAUAACUGGGAUCAUUAUUGUUUACAUUGUGAAUAUUUGAGCUGUACAUUUUCUGAAUUUGUAGAUGCAGCCAGUGUGCUCCUGCCUUGGCAUUCGCUUUUCAUUCAUUGGUUUGUAACUGUCAAACUGAUUUUUACACCUUUUUUAAAACCAAUGUACAUUACGUGACUGCAUGUGUCAUAUGGGGGGGGGGGGGGGGGGGUUGCGGGUGAGGGUGCGGGAGAAGCUUCAUUCUUAAUAGUUUUUGUAAGACGGUAACGAGUACCACCGUUUUUUUAAAUCGGGUGGUACGUUUUCAUUAGCCUUAUAUAUUGCCACCGUACCAUAUAAAUGUGACAUUCACAGUAAAGGACAUAUGGCACAAGACAAGACAGUGCCUUCUGAUGAAUUAGGAUUACACCACACUGUUAGCGACGGGUGACGUUGGGGUUUUAUUCCACAGCCUCUGUCGCUAACACUGUUUGGUUCCCAAUUGGGUGAGUUCUCACAUGAAGUUUGAUCAGUCCACCUGGCCAGGGGCAGUGUGUGGCCCUGGGGCCCACUCUUCAUGUUAGACUGUUACUGGAUGCUGUUUCUCAUGAUGGCGAACCCCGCUGUACAAAUGGAUUUUUAUUGCGAGUGUGCUCAGUUGCUUAAUGUGAAGUAAUGCACUGUUGUAUUAAGUACAAUGUUCUUGUUACAAAAUUAAUAAAUUUUUAUUUUGGAGAA